rnacentral:rRNA from 1 species
UGUUUCGGCUAGGGGGCCAUCCCGGCUUACCAACCCGAUGCAAACUGCGAAUACCGGAGAAUGUUAUCACGGGAGACACACGGCGGGUGCUAACGUCCGUCGUGAAGAGGGAAACAACCCAGACCGCCAGCUAAGGUCCCAAAGUCAUGGUUAAGUGGGAAACGAUGUGGGAAGGCCCAGACAGCCAGGAUGUUGGCUUAGAAGCAGCCAUCAUUUAAAGAAAGCGUAAUAGCUCACUGGUCGAGUCGGCCUGCGCGGAAGAUGUAACGGGGCUAAACCAUGCACCGAAGCUGCGGCAGCGACACUGUGUGUUGUUGGGUAGGGGAGCGUUCUGUAAGCCUGUGAAGGUGUGUCGUGAGGCAUGCUGGAGGUAUCAGAAGUGCGAAUGCUGACAUAAGUAACGAUAAAGCGGGUGAAAAGCCCGCUCGCCGGAAGACCAAGGGUUCCUGUCCAACGUUAAUCGGGGCAGGGUGAGUCGACCCCUAAGGCGAGGCCGAAAGGCGUAGUCGAUGGGAAACGGGUUAAUAUUCCCGUACUUGGUGUUACUGCGAAGGGGGGACGGAGAAGGCUAUGUUGGCCGGGCGACGGUUGUCCCGGUUUAAGCGUGUAGGUGUGUGUUCCAGGUAAAUCCGGUCCACUUUAACACUGAGGCGUGAUGACGAGGCACUACGGUGCUGAAGCAACAAAUGCCCUGCUUCCAGGAAAAGCCUCUAAGCAUCAGGUAACAUCAAAUCGUACCCCAAACCGACACAGGUGGUCAGGUA